GUUUGGAGCUCGUUAAUGGACUGUUUUUGUGCAGAUUUUCAGGGCUGUCUUUUAGACUCGUUUUAGACUAUUUUUGUACAGAUUUUCGGGGCUUAGGAGUUUGGUUUUCAUGGUGAAUUUGCUGGUUUUCAGCUGAAAAACAGAGCAUGUUUUUGCUGGGUUUUAGAGCUAAUUUUUAGGCGGUUUUUCAGUACAUUUAGGAUGUUUUUGGGGGGUUGAUUUGAGCUAUUUUUUGCAUCAGGUUUUAGCUGAAUUUUUUGGGCUAACUCUCAUGGGGUUUGGGGCUGGUUUAAAGAUGAUUUUCAGUUAAGUUUGGUUGGCUUUUUCAGGCGCUUUGAAGCUGGAUUUCAUGAGGUUUUAUGGCUGAUUUUGGAGGUGAAGAGGAGAGAUUUUGAUGUUGAAAAGGUGAAAAAAGUUGUAAGAUUCAAGGUGCUUUCAUGGUGGCUUUAGGCUGG
rnacentral:lncRNA from 1 species